GACAAUUUUCAGCAAGUUGCAACGUUGAAAUUCAGAAAUAACCACUUUUCCAUAAACAAGCUCUAAAUCAUGUUUGAUGCACUCUGGAUGUCCACUUUUUGCUGUACUGUCUAUUUGAGAUGAAAUGAACAUUGUGCACAGUUUUCAGCAAGUUGCAACAUACUGAAAUAACUUUUUUUUCCAUAAACAAGCUCUAAAUCAUGUUUGAUGCACUCUGGAUGUCCACUUCUUGCUGUGCUGUCUAUUUGAGAUGAAAUGAACACUGUGGCCUGUUUUCAGCAAGUUGCAACAUUGAAAUACAGAAAUAAGCACUUUUCCAUAAAUAAGGUCUAAAUCAUGUUUGAUGCACUCAGGAUGUAAUUUCUUUUG
ensembl:lncRNA